GCCUUCCCAGGUGACCUCCUGCAGCUCAGUUUCCCUUGUGUGGAAUGAACUCAGCCUCCUAGACCUGCUAAUGAGCUACAAUGAUUGCCAGAUCAAAGGGUGUUUGGGAACAUUUCCGGCCUUACCAGUGAGGUGGAGAAAAAGCAGGCAAAGCAAGGUGAUUUAGAAAAUGCCACUUUACCUGUUGAACCAAAGAGCCAGAAGUUGAACUCAUAGAAAUCCGACUGAGAUUACCCCGUGGUGCACAGUAAAUAGUACAAUUCCUUUCUCACCUAGGCCACCAAGUCUUGUCCCUAGGAGAAUCCAGAUUAUAUCCAAAUUUCCUUCUGAUUUCCUUCCAUCUGUGAUAACUUCAUUGUUCUGUCCCUGGAGAUGAGCUAGAUCCAGAGUUCCCAAAUGCUGGUCUAUGGACCAAUGCUGACACAUGACAAGGUUUUUAUUCAUUAAAUGAGAACAAUAAGGAUACUGUAAAGAAUCUUUCAGAGUUCAAUGUAUUUCAUUUAAAGGGCUUUUCUUCUGAGAUGAUAUCAUUGAAAUGUAAGCUCCAAGAGGGUAAGGACUUCGAUGAUAUUCUUUUUCUCUGGUUUCCAAUACCUAGAAGAAUACCUGCAUGUAAGAGGCACUUAAUCAAUAUUUGUUGAAUGAAUGAAGGAAAAAUUUUUCCUUUUUAUUUUCCUGGGAUUAAAAUAUCCUUUCUUUAAUGAAAUGGUAUCGAAAGUAAGUGGUGGGAGGUUUUGAAAACUUUUUUCCUAUGGAAAAAUAAAAGUAUAUAAUUAUUUUUAAAAGGCUAUUGAUCUUUAAGUUUGAGAAUUUCUAGACUAGAUGAUCCAUUAAGGACCAUUUCAUCUUAUGAUCCAUCAGACAGAGUGGGAACACAUUCAAAGCCCUUUAGUUAAAUCAUAGCAGGCCACACACGGUCCCAGCACGUUGGGAAGCUGAGGCAGACAGAUCACUUGAGGUCAGGAUUUCGAGAUCAGCCUGGCCAACACGGUGAAACCCUGUCUCUACUGAAAAUACAAAAAUUAGCCGGGCGUGGUGGUGCACGCCUGUAGUUCCAGCUAUUCAGGAGGCUGAGGCACGAGAAUCACUUGAACCCAGGAGGCGGAGGUGGCAGAGAGCUGAGAUCUGGCCACUGUACUCAGCUUGGGUGACACAGCAAGACUGUCUCAAAAAAAAAAAGAAAAGAAAAGAAAAGAAAAAA
rnacentral:lncRNA from 1 species